CCUUUGGAGAGUUAUACCAAACAGGAGUAGUUUUUAACGAAACUGGACUCUAUGAAUUAGGAA
rnacentral:sRNA from 12 species